AUACGGGGGGUGCAAGCGUUAAUCGGAAUUACUGGGCGUAAAGCGCGCGUAGGCGGUUUGCUCAGUCGGAUGUGAAAGCCCAGGGCUCAAUCUUGGAACUGCAUACGAUACUGGCAAACUAGAGUGUGAGAGAGGAUAGUGGAAUUUCCGGUGUAGCGGUGAAAUGCGUAGAUAUCAGAAGGAACAUCAGUGGCGAAGGCGACUGUCUGGCUCAACACUGACGCUGAGGUGCGAAAGCGUGGGUAGCAAACAGGAUUAGAAACCCCAGUAGUCC
rnacentral:rRNA from 1 species